rnacentral:misc_RNA from 1 species
AUCAUCUCCUUCACGCCUCUUCAUUGGAUGGUGCGAGGAAAUUCUCGGCCACAAUCGGUUAUCCUGUGCUGCGUACCUAGCUCGAAGGCAUUUUGUUGGCUAAACGUAUUUGGUUUCCGAUGUGUGUCGCUCCUCCUCUUGGGGAAUUGAUGUAUGUUGGACCUCAAGGCAGUCGUUGUGUUUCGCACUGUGAUCAACUUAUGGGUGAUUUUAGUUGACGAGCCACAAUGCAAUGCUUGAUAUCUUGGGUGUGGAACACUUGUGGGUCGAGGUCUUUGGCCUUCGAUCACCUCAUCAAAUAAGCGUUCUACGCUUUGUGCGAACGACGGUYGUCCCGUUCUUUUGCCGUGCUCUUGAAGCGCGGUUGAAGUCGUGUCGGCGUCGG